UUGGAGGGCAAGUCUGGUGCCAGCAGCCGCGGUAAUUCCAGCUCCAAUAGCGUAUAUUAAAGUUGCUGCAGUUAAAAAGCUCGUAGUUGAAUUUUGGGACCAAUAUGUCGGUCGUGCCUCGGUACGUACUGGCAUCGUUGGUUUCUCCCUUCUGACGAACCAUGAUGUCAUUUAUUUGGUGUCGUGGGGAAUCAGGACUGUUACUUUGAAAAAAUUAGAGUGUUUAAAGCAGGCUCACGCUUGAAUACAUUAGCAUGGAAUAAUGAAAUAGGACGUUUGAUUCUAUUUUGUUGGUUUCUAGGAUCGACGUAAUGAUUAAUAGGGAUAGUUGGGGGCAUUAGUAUUCAAUUGUCAGAGGUGAAAUUCUUGGAUUUAUUGAAGACUAACUACUGCGAAAGCAUUUGCCAAGGAUGUUUUCAUUAAUCAAGAACGAAAGUUAGGGGAUCGAAGACGAUCAGAUACCGUCGUAGUCUUAACCAUAAACUAUGCCGACUAGGGAUCGGAUGAUGUUAAUUUUUUAAUGACUCAUUCGGCACCUUACGGGAAAC
rnacentral:rRNA from 1 species